rnacentral:rRNA from 1 species
UACGUAGGGUGCGAGCGUUAAUCGGAAUUACUGGGCGUAAAGCGUGCGCAGGCGGUUUUGUAAGUCAGAUGUGAAAUCCCCCGGGCUUAACCUGGGAACUGCGUUUGAAACUACAAGGCUAGAGUGUGGCAGAGGGGGUGGAAUUCGACGUGUAGCAGUGAAAUGCGUAGAGAUGUGGAGGAACACCGAUGGCGAAGGCAGCCCCUGGGUUAACACUGACGCUCAGGCACGAAAGCGUGGGGAGCAAACAGG